CAUUUGCUUAAGCGUACUUACAUCUCAGAAUCUGUUUUGAUGCAUGUUUUCCAAUUGCACGGUUUACUGAGGCUGUUUUAAAAAAAAAUAAUCAGCAUUUUUAAAAGUGCCUUGGUAAAAUGACACACACACACACACACACACAGCUCUGAAGGUAGGAGAGAUGCUAUCCCCUUUGUCAAACCCCUUCCUCACCACGCUACCCCUCCAAGCGAGGCCCCUGGAGGAGCCAACCACAAUUUUUGGGGACUAUCGGUUUAUUGUGUGGUAGUGCAAUAUAGUAGGCCCUUUCUUCGACCGACCCCCCCCCCCCGGGUCUCCUUUCAGCAUUUCAGCAGAAGCAGCUCCGCCGCGAGGGGUGUGCGGGGCUGACCCUCGGCAUCUUCACCCUGAGCAAUGUGCAAAAGCAUCCCUCGCGCUCUGCGAGCCUCGCGGCCUUUGACGGCGGCGAGGCAGGAGCAAGGCGAGCGCAGCCGGCUUCAGCUUCCAGCCGAGCCCGGCCUUCUCCCCGCCCGCUCCAUGUUUCCCCCUCCCCGCCCUCCUCACAGCGCGAGAGGGAACAAAAAACAGGCCCUUCCCCGGCCGCUCCCGCUUAAUCUCCCUCCACCCACCGGUUGCCCGGCCAACAAGCCAGACAAGCAGGUGAUCCAUUGACAGGGAGCAGAUGGUCUCCCGCCGAGCCAAUUUUAGAAGAGGACAGGUGCAGCCAGUGAGAACCAAUCUGCUUGCGCAUUGUGAAUAUGAUGUUCCAAAAAUGCCACCACCAAGUUCUGUCUCCAGUGGGGAAGAGAUGGUUGGAAUGGGAGCAAUAGCAUAUCCUCACCUACCUAUCAACCUGGAGACCACCUGUGUACACAUUAAAGAGAAAGCAGAAGACACUGAAGCUGCUAUAGAGUAAACACAGAAAGAAAUGUAGAAUGUCUCGAUUCAGCCAGGAUACAAAGCAGUGUAACUUCAUUAUUUUCAGAGGCUGAAGAAAAUUCAGAAAAUUUUCGUAGGCCAUCCUCAACUGUAAUUAGCCAAUCUCCUUUGAGAGGGAAACAGAUUGUUGUAAGAAUAUUAAACGAUUAAACAACAACAACAAGCCUUUUCCCCAGAUCGGGGUGCAAGGCAGCUUGCAGAUAGAACGGAAACAGCUAAAAUACAAAACCAUUGAUUGGCCAGAUUUCAGAAAUCGGUGACUAUUAUGUAACAGAUGGUCUGACAGACCUCCGACUCUUUGACGUGAUGGCUUGCUUGGCGUAGAACAUAGCGGCAGUGGAUGGGAAGAAAACAGAUGCAACCGUUUUUCAGCAAGUCCUGUAACAACAUAAGGAGAGAGAGGGCUGAAACUCCGUCUUUGGGGGGGGGGCGGAAGGAGGGGAGGCGACCUUUCGAGGAAACGAUGUCCAGUCGGAUCUCCCGCCCCUCCAACACACACACUUGGGACUUCAGCGAGGUCAGUAUUUCACUCUUUCCGAGUUUUCACUUUCCAAAUCGGGUGACCGUGACAUUGACCUCCGUCCGGCCACGAUGGACAAUCACUCCCCUCCUCCUCUGUGGACCAGCCCUAAAUCAAUCGUCGCCGUUGUUUUAGAGACUCUUUUUGUUCAUUUACCAUUAUUCUUUUAAAAAAUAAAUUAAUUAAAAAGGACGUCGUUACGAUGCUCCCCCCCCAGCCAUUAAGGGCAUAAUAAAUAAUUAGGGAGCCUUAAGCAUAUUAGCUACAGCUCAUGCUAAUCAGCGGCCUCGGGUCUCAAACUAACCCGAAGUGACAGGUUUGUUGCAUUUAACAGGAGGAGAGCGGGAUAGAGAUAUUCAAAGCUCCCAUCCCUCGCUCCCUUUUGCAACAUAGGAAAUGAGAAGUGGGGUGAACGCGCUGCAGAGAGCCGUUUGCAAACGUCGACUUCUGGAUCAAACCGAGUUCCUCGGCUGCUGUCACUAUCGCAACUCUAAACGGAACUGCCUGCGUCGCAGAUGCAGCCCACGUCUCGACAGCAAAAAGCAAUAGGUGGAGUAUUGGGGGGGGGUGUCUUUGAAAAUUCGCCCCUCCCCUUUCUACUCCCCCCCAGCAACCUUCCCCGCGCAAAGGACGCCGGGAUCAGGUCGGGGGCAGUUUGCCGACUUGGCUGAGGUCAGUCGUGUGUCCCCAUUGUGCGGCCACGUGUCCCGCGUCCAUCAGCGGCCAAGGCGGCGAGGCUCCUUGCUGCACGGACGGCGAUGGGAGCUCGGCCCGAGGAAGCAAGUCGAGGGAUUCCCAGCCAGGUUUGCUAGGGAAAUCGGACGGCUGGGCGUGCAGAUCCACUGGGCAAAAAGUACAUUAUCUGUCUGCUUUUCACAGACUCCAAGAAGCAGACUUUCCCCCUCUAUUCAGACGUGUGCAAUUUCCUGUGGCCCAAUAAGUCAAAUACUGUAUAAUAAGAAAUCAAGUUGUGCCCAUGCAUCCUCCGCAGCUGUGUUGCUUGCUUCCCUGCAACGCGGGCAAAGUGUGACUUGCACUGUGAUGCUGGAAUAUUAGUCUGAAUAGGAUAAAUCAAUCUGCAGAGUUUGGGAGCUUUCGUCCUUGCCUUGUACCUGGAAAGCAAGGGUGCUGGUUCCUUAAAUGUCUCCAUCCCGACGUUCAAAGCUCACCCUCUCCUCUAUUAGCAUUGGCAGGCUUUUUCCAGAUCAGACUUCCUGGAAAGUUAGGAACAGGGCUGAGAAACUGAAGAGGUUUGGGCUCCCAGUUGCCAUCAGCCUCAACAUGAGUAGCCAAUGGUCAAGGAAGAUGGGAAUUGUAGAUCUGACUAUAGUGAGAUGGUCAUGGGUUCCUCUCCUUUGGUUUUGGAACAUGGGAAGUUGUUUUAUACCAUGUCUGACCAGUAUUGCCAACACUGACUGGCAGCAGCUUUCCAGAGUUUUGGGCAUGGUUGCAUUGCAGGGGUUGCACUAGAGGUAGCCUUAGGGAACCUCCCCACUCUAUGAUUCUGUGAUUCCCAGUCCUACCUGGAGGUACAGGGCGAUUGAGCCUGACCUGGGAUCUUUCGCAUGCACAGCAUGUGGUCUAUCACUGGGGUGGAGUCAAGGAAGGAAGGACUUGGCAAGAGUUGUAUAAAACUAUGCACAGUCUGGGGACAGUUGAUAAAAGAGUGAUUUCCCCCCUCUUUGAUAGGACAGUGGUACCUCGGGUUACAUACGCUUCAGGUUACAUACGCUUCAGGUUACAGACUCCGCUAACCC